rnacentral:miRNA from 1 species
GCCUAUGAAUCCCAGCACCCUUCUUGAACUAUAGUUACUAUGAUGGCAUCUUUGUGUACAAUGUAAUGCAGUAAGCUCCAUAUCAGCCCUACUGCAUUACAUAGACACAAAGAUAUUAUCAUAGUAACUAUAGUUCAAGAAGGGUGCUGGGAUUCAUAGGCU